rnacentral:lncRNA from 1 species
GAGUUCAUGGCAAGUGGCAGUGGCAGCGGCGGCGGCAGCGGCGGCGGAGAAGGAACAAGUGCUGCUCUCACUUGUGCCGCGUGUGGCUGCCACAGGAACUUCCACAAGAGACAGGAAGCUGAAGUGGUGAGUGAGUGCUCCUCGCCUACCUCCAAUGGAACUUGAUCAGAGAGAGAGAGAGAGAGAUAUUUCAUCAUGUUUAUACCUCAACAAUCAUGCUGCUAGCUACUCCAUAUCCCUUAUAAUAUAUUUUGUGGAAUUUGCUUUUUCUGCUUGUUAAUUAAUUAAGAAUUGGGGUUUUAAUUAAUUAAACAUACUGCUGAACUAGUAUGAUCGAAUUAAUGAAUAUUCUAGAACUAUUAUAUAUAGUAAUUCUAGAGUGGUAAUGUAUGUGAUGAAUUUUAGGUUGAUGUUUGUAAUUAAGAGAAAAGUGCAAUCACAAAUUGUUUUUGUGAUGAUGAGUGUGCAAAGUUUAUUUUGAUCAUCUUCUCUUCUUACAUGUUUGGUUUAAACUUGUUUUUGAAGAAAUAAUUACUUGGUUUCUGUCAAAAGAAAAAGUAUUUAAUUUACUUAUCAGAAAUCAUGUUUCCAAACAUGUAAGUAGUUACUCGGUUAAUUAAACUAGUCUUUUGUUGUUGCUUUGUUUAUUUAUGAGCUUGUGUUUGUAAUUAAGUUGUGUUAUGGAUUUUGCUUUGUGGCUAUAGCUACUCGAUGAAGCAGUUGGUUCAGUUUGAAAUUUGAUGAGGAAAAUUGGUUUUGGUUUUGCCUUCUUUAAUUGAUUUCUUUGUCUUUUCGUGGCAUGCUGAUUUUGAUUCGAUUCCAGAUCAUAUCAUUCGAGGAUUCCACACUAUACCAAACCCCACUUUGCUUUGCCCUCUCUUUCCAUUUUUUUCUCCUUUUUCAGUUUUGGUAUAUUGUUUUCACUGAAUUAAAUUUCCUUCCAUGAUCAAGACAGUGUUCAGGAAUUCAACAUCACUUUUACUAUAUAUCAUGCAUGCCAGUUUCCCUAGUGUGAUACUAUGUGUCGUGUGUAACAAAGUAGCAAUUAAAGCCGUUAUACAAAAAUGUUGCAUUUAUAUGCUAUGUAAAAUUUUAUUAUGACGAUAACAACAAUUCCCUUACCUGUUUCACUCUUCCCUAAUCCCUUAAAAGGCACUAUCUGGCUUUGCUAAGCUCUACAACAAUUAUCACAAAUAAAUCUCCAAUCCACUAGCUAGUGUCGUUUGAGACCACUUUGAAUAGUUUCACGGUCCACAUGUCUAAUCAUGUUGGUUGUUGAAAUAAAAAAGUUUCAUUAACUACUCAUUAAAAGUUUAUUUAAGCUAGAUCAAACUAGCUGGGGUCAAAAAAUUAAAUAUAGGGUUAAAAACACGUAUACAACACUUUUCCACAACUCUUUUUUUUUUUUUUUAAUUUUAUCGUUCUAAGUUACACCAUUAAUCUUAUCUCACAUUUUACUCUUUUUCUAUUGUUAUCUCUCUCUUUAUUGUAAUAAAUAUUGUAAAAAAAAUUAAAGAUAUUUUAAGUAUAAAUUUCUACUAAUUCAACAUUAAAAAACAUAUCAAAGAUAAACACCUAAAGCUGAUAAAAAAAAGUGAACACAUUAAAUAUGAUUUGUAAUUCAGUUUUAUCUCUCUGCUUAGACAUGUUUAUGUAGACAACAGAUAAUGUUCAAUCAUGAACCAUAUUAAAUCGAAAUAAAAGCAACAAAAACAUUAAGAUAUUUUUUUACUAGAAACAUUGAGAUUAGCUGCCUAACCGUGUAUACCAAAAAAAAACACAUAAAGAAAGAAAAAAAGAAGCUUCCUAAUCGUACGUGUGUGUUUGUGUGUUCCUAUAAUUGAUAUAACAUAUGAAUGAGUAAACCCUGAAUGCAAGUAGUGUAGAAGUAAACUAAUGAUCAUUAUGAGAAUAGAAUCGUGCAUACCUGAUGAUAGACAAUUUCAUGUAACACUACUGGAAUUGAAAGUCACAAUAACACUACUACUUGUUGUUAUCAUUCAACAAAGUGGAUGUUAACUAAAAU